GACGAACGCUGGCGGCGUGCCUAAUACAUGCAAGUAGAACGCAGUUGCGAACGGGUGAGUAACGCGUAGGUAACUGCCUCAUAGCGGGGGAUAACUAUUGGAAACGAUAGCUAAUACCGCAUACUGUGAGAUGGACCUGCGUGGUAUUAGCUAGUUGGUUAGGUAACGCCUCACCAAGGCAACGAUGCAUAGCCGACCUGAGAGGGUGAUCGGCCACACUGGGACGGAGAAACGGCCCAGACUCCUACGGGAGGCAGCAGUAGGGAAUCUUCGGCAAUGGACGAAAGUCUGACCGAGCAAGGCCGCGUGAGGGAAGAAGGUUUUCGGAUCGUAAACCCCUGUGGUUAGAGAAGCGGUAUCUAACCAGAAAGCCACGGCUAACUACGUGCCAGCCGCCUCGGUAAUUC
rnacentral:rRNA from 1 species